AGCACCAAAUGGGCCUGAGUCAACCCCUGCACCAUCUACUGGUCUUAGCGGCGGAGCAAUUGCUGGGAUUGUGGUUGGGUGCCUGGUCUUUGUGGCUAUAGUUGUUGGUAUAAUCUGGUGGAAGAAGUGCCCAAGAGGUCCGUCAAGGGGUAUAUCAGAUUAGAUAGUACCAAUGCUGAAGAAACAAAAAACCUUUGAUAAGAAUUGGUGUAAAGAACCUGGUUUUCACAGUAUCACAAACCAACAUUAUUGAUUAUGCAUCAAAUACCUCCAAAAAAGGCAAGAAUGUACUGUUAGAAAUACAAAAGAAAACAUUCCAAGGAUGGAACUUUAAAGGUACUCUACGAUCAGAGAAGGUUCACCCUGUGGUUCAUAUUAUCCGAUUUAAGUGCUGUUGUUGUCUAGUAAUACUGAUCUUUACUGAAAAUAAUAUGUAAAUAGUAUGCUGAUGAGCUACUAAAAAUUAAAGGACUUAGUAUAGCUUCAAACAUUUCUGCAAAUUUCGAGAGUUUUGUUCUUAGAGAACAGUUAGUUAUUUAUAUGUGAUUUUAUAGAAGAAAGAACCUCAGCAUAAUAUCAUUUGAUAUUCUGUUGUACUUUCCACAGCUUAAAAUGGGUAAGGUAAUUGAUUUUUGACAUAUUGAUUUUUUAUAUUUUCUUUUCUAAACACUAUUUUUGUCAAAAGAAGUCUAGUCUGAGGGUAAAUUAAUUAGUUAGGGGCUCAGUCAGACAAUUGUUUGCUUGUUGAAAAUUGUUUGCUUGUUGACAAUUGCAUUCAGUUCUUAUAUUGAUUCAUGUUUGUUAGAUGAUUUUAUAUCAAAUAUUGUGUAAGACUAUUAUAAUUGGUCUAUAAACUUAUUAUCCAAGUAUGUAUGUAACCAAGGUUAUAGUUGUUUUGAAUGUAUACUGUUAUUAAUGGAAAUGUUGCUAUUGAUGAAAAUAUUAUACUGUAAGACAACAAAAGGAAACUAGAGAAAAUUAUAUAUAGCUUGCUUUGGCUAGUACACCACAUUGUAAAUAAGGUCCAUAGGUGGUGGUAUUGUUGGUGGUGGUAUUUAUGUUUAGUUUAGAUACGGCGUGGUUUGCGUUGGAUAGACAAUUGAACCUGCCAAAGAACAAAGUUAUGUUUUGCGUUCGUUUGAAAACACACCAAACAUUUAUUGUUUUGCAUAUAUUGCAGUUCUACUCGGAAUGGUUUAGACACUGUUUCGAACGCAAAGCAGGACACCGACGUUUUUACCCAUUCAAAGAAAUGACAAUCAUAACUCAAAAGUCAACAAAACCAAGUUUAACACCAGCAAACCCCAGAAUCUAUGGACCUUCUAGUCGCUACUUAAACUAUUGUAUUCUUUAUUGUAGUCUCUAUCCAUUUGUAAUUGCUAGCUAGGAUUCCGCCCGAAUUGGCUGUUGGCACAUACUUUUUUACCUUGAGACCUCGGUUGGCAAAGUUGGCUUUAUCACUGUGCCUUGAAGCAUAGAUGUUAUGAUUAUAUGCUGCAUUAUUUACCAGCAAUAAAAAAACACCAACUUA